rnacentral:piRNA from 1 species
UCUCUGGAGUGACAGAGUAUGAAAGGGAGU